ACAUUAAUAACUGCUAAUUUGAAAAAGUUUUAUACUGACAAUAUAUAAAAAUUUAAUCCAAAAAUUUGUAGUAGAAGAUUUAUCCCGCGGAAAAUAUUCUCCAGCAGCGGCAGGCCAGUGCGAAAUCCGGUGGGGGAGUUCGUCGGAUUCUUCCAAUCCGGUCAAAUUAAAUUUCGCAUUGGGGAUUGAACGUCCCCAUAAGAAUCAGACGGCUGGGAGAGAUGAAAGGCUCAUCAUGCGCUCUCGUUGUGUCAUGUGUGCGUUCUCUCCGCUUCCACGGUGGCCCUCUCCUCCUCCUCAGGUGACCGCCACCUCACCUUUGCCACCCCUUGUCCCAAUCAGGAAUUUUCACAAUCCUCUGCCUCUUCUCCGGCGGGGAAUGAGAGGGGAAAGAAUUGGGGGCGGAAGGCAAGUCUAGAAAAGGAGAAUUUUGCUCCAAGAUUCGAUGGGUUGAGGUUCAUUGAGACUUUGGUCACGGCCCACAGGUGAAAGCUGCCGAAAUGGUGGUGAGGCACUUGUGCCAAGGAAAUGGUGGUAUCAGUUCUUUAAGAUUUCAUUGUUUUAAAAUUCAUACACAAAAGAGAAACCCAUAAUUUGCCUUUGAUUUUGAUUUUUUUUCUAAAUUGUGAUUCCGGAUUGAUGAGUGACACUUUUUUUUUUU